UUACUUAAGUAGUAUUAGUUAUAUUCUUGAAACUUAAAAAAUUUGGCGGUAUUUUAAUCUUUUUAGAGGAACCUGUUCUAUAAUCGAUAAUCCACGUUUUAUCUUACUAAAUUAUUUAUAUAUCGUUGUCGAAAGAAUAAAUUUUCUAAAAUUUUAAUUUAAAUAAAUGUCAAAUCAAGGUGUAGUUUAUAAUUUAGUAGAAAUGGGUUACAAUAAAAAUAUUUAGGAUUUUAAUGAAGGUGGAUUUAAAUGUAAAUUAAUUUUAAUAAAUUUAGUUGAUUAAAGUUCUAAAAUAUGU
rnacentral:rRNA from 1 species